rnacentral:rRNA from 1 species
UACGGAGGUGGCAAGCGUUGCUCGGAAUCACUGGGCGUAAGGGGCGCGUAGGCGGGGAGGUAAGUCGGGUGUGAAAUCCCUUGGCCCAACCGAGGAACUGCGCCCGAGACUGCUUCUCUUGAGUCCCGGAGAGGAAGGUGGAAUUCCCGGUGUAGCGGUGAAAUGUGUAGAGAUCGGGAGGAACACCGGUGGCGAAGGCGGCCUCUGGACGGUGACUGACGCUGAGGCGCGAAAGCGUGGGGAGCAAACGGG